CCUAACCCUUUGCACCCGGGGAGCAUAGGACCUGGGGAACAUAGGGAUGAACCCGUGAAAAUUAAAUGUAGACUGAUAGCUCCUCAUUGUACCGAUGUCAACCGUUGAAGAGGCCUAUAGCAGGGGGCAAGAGCCAUCACAGGGAAACACAAGUCCCACAGCCACAGGAAAAAGGACAGGAAGAGCAAGUGCUGCGGGAAGAGGAAGACCAGUGCGUCUAGGAAGAGGGACGGCAUCAGCAGGCGUUUGCAGGAUAGCGUGUUGCAGUGACUGGACUGGAUACCUGGACUCUCAGCAUAGUUAACCGGCCAGUACCACAUCACCAAUUUAAUAUGAUGGGCAUGCAUUUACCUGUUGGUCAAUUAUGGCACCUAUUGCACUCCUGACCAUCCCUGGAUGAAGGGAUCCCCUACUAUUUAUUCUCUUUUUUUCUUCCUCGCUAAUUCAAGGGAGUUUUUUUCUUGCCCUUGUGGGGGCUUGGGUAAAGGGGGGUGUCAUAAAUAUUUGGCCUGUUAAGCCCUUUGAGACUGUAAUGGUGAUUAAGGGCUAUACAAAUAAAAUUCUUCUUAC
ensembl:lncRNA